rnacentral:rRNA from 1 species
GACGAACGCUGGCGGCGUGCUUAACACAUGCAAGUCGAACGGAAAGGCCCUGCUUUUGUGGGGUGCUCGAGUGGCGAACGGGUGAGUAACACGUGAGUAACCUGCCCUUGACUUUGGGAUAACUUCAGGAAAAUGGGGCUCAUACCGGAUAGGAGCUCCUGCUGCAUGGUGGGGGUUGGAAAGUUUCGGCGGUUGGGGAUGGACUCGCGGGUUAUCAGCUUGUUGGUGAGGUAGUGGCUUACCAAGGCUUUGACGGGUAGCCGGCCUGAGAGGGUGACCGGCCACAAUGGGACUGAGGUACGGCCCAGACUCCUACGGGAGGCAGCAGUGGGGAAUAUUGCACAAUGGGCGGAAGCCUGAUGCAGCAACGCCGCGUGCGGGAUGACGGCCUUCGGGUUGUGAACCGCUUUCGCCUGUGACGAAGCGUGAGUGACGGUAAUGGGUAAAGAAGCACCGGCUAACUACGUG